rnacentral:rRNA from 1 species
UAGGGAAUCUUCCACAAUGGGCGAAGGCCUGAUGGAGCAACGCCGCGUGUGUGAUGAAGGGUUUCGGCUCGUAAAACACUGUUGUAAGAGAAGAAUGACAUUGAGAGUAACUGUUCAAUGUGUGACGGUAUCUUACCAGAAAGGAACGGCUAAAUACGUGCCAC